GACGAACGCUGGCGGCGUGCUUAACACAUGCAAGUCGAACGGAAAGGCCCUGCUUUUGUGGGGUGCUCGAUUGGCGAACGGGUGAGUAACACGUGAGUAACCUGCCCUUGACUUUGGGAUAACUUCAGGAAACUGGGGCUAAUACCGGAUAGGAGCUCCUGCUGCAUGUUGUGGGUUGGAAAGUUUCGGCGGUUGGGGAUGGACUCGCGGCUUAUCAGCUUGUUGGUGUGGUAGUGGCUUACCAAGGCUUUGACGGGUAGCCGGCCUGAGAGGGUGACCGGCCACAUUGGGACUGAGAUACGGCCCAGACUCGUACGGGAGGCAGCAGUGGGGAAUAUUGCAGAAUGGGCGGAAGCCUGAUGCAGCAACGCCGCGUGCGGGAUGACGGCCUUCGGGUUGUAAACCGCUUUCGCCGGUGACGAAGCGGGAGUGACGGUAAUGGGUAAAGAAGCAACGGCUAACUACGUG
rnacentral:rRNA from 1 species